CCCCUAGAUGUUCUGGGCCGCACGCGCGCUACACUGAACAGUUCAACAAGUCUUAACCUUGGCCGAUAGGUCUGGGUAAUCUUUGAACGCUGUUCGUGAUUGGGAUAGACCUUUGCAAUUAUGGGUCUUCAACGAGGAAUUCCUAGUAAACGCAAGUCAUCAGCUUGCAUUGAUUACGUCCCUGCCCUUUGUACACACCGCCCGUCGCACCUACCGAUUGAAUGGUCCGGUGAAUCUUUAGGACUGUGGCUGAGGCCUUGCCUUGUGCGGGUCUGGCCGUGGGAAUUUAGUUAAACCUUACCAUUUAGAGGAAGGUGAAGUCGUAACA
rnacentral:rRNA from 1 species